rnacentral:lncRNA from 1 species
UUUGAUGCAUAUAUGGCAAAAAAGAAUUCCUUCAAGCCGAAGGCAUUGCUUCAGAUUGCUUAGCCGUGCUCUUUGAGGUGAAAAUAUAGAAUCUGAUCUUCAGUGGUAGAUCCGACGACAACGACCAUGACGUUGAUGCAUCGCCUUGCUUCCAGAGGACAUUUCAUGUAAUACGGAAAUUUGCGGGGGCACGCGAGUGCGGGGGCAUUCACCUGCAAAAUACCGCCACCUGCUCGUUUUGCCUCGCGUUUCACGAGUGCAUGGUAACGUUGAAAUUUAGGUUUUUUGCAUUUAAAAUGCCAACUUUUAACCAGUUUUAGAGAUAUAAUUUUAAGCAAUUUUUUCUGUCGGCCGUAGACACAAAAUAAUGGGGGUUUUUAUCGAUCGUUCGUACUAAGUUUCAAGUAGUGAAACUUAACAUAUUUGUUUAAGGCACUGGAUGAGAAACACGAAUAUGAAAAGGAAGCUUAAUUUGGAUUUUUUUUUUGUUUAAAAGAUAUAAAAUUUUAAAAAUCGGAAGCCAAAAUAAUAAGCGGGCACCAGGGGCAUGAGUAUUCCUGCACUUGCGUGUCGCAAAUCCUCUCCCAUGGUUGAUAGUGUUGUUAACUUGUUUGUUAUUUGUCGUUGAGUGCGUCCGCUUUCUUUGCAUAUCCUUUUUAUUUUAUUUUGGCUGUGUGCAUUCCUAAUAUGCUAAUUAUUUUAAAUAUUGUAUAGUUGCAUAGGUGAGUUUGUAUCCAUCUUGAUAUUGAUAUACUAACUUCUGUCAAAAGAAAAAGCAUACAUCAGUUUUCUUUAAUGUAGAAUCUUGAGUUAGUGUCGCUCCGCUCAUAGCUGGUAGAACUACAACUUUUGGGGUAGACCGCGCUCUUAUACGGUCAAAAAUGAACCAGCUAGACGAGUUGCUCUAUAGAGAGGAGAUGCUAUGGCUCCAGCGACCCCGUAUUACCUGGUUGAAGGAAGGCGAACACAACACAAAGUAUCUACAUCGGCGGGCAGUAUGGCGAGCCCGUAGAAACAAUAUUCAGCGGUUGCAGAAAUAUGAUGGGUCAUGGUUGUGACACCCCGGGUGUAACUUGCCAUAUUUGUAACUCCGACUCUUGCCAUUUCCGGCUAUGUGUUAUGAUUUUCCCUCCGUUGUCGGGUUUUGUUUUUCGUUUUUGCAUUUUGUUCAUGUCAUGCAUUUCAUAUCAUGUCAUCAUGUGCAUUGCAUUUGCAUACGUGUUCGUCUCAGGCAUCCGAGCAUUUUCCCCGUUGUCCGUUUUCCAAUCCGGCGCUCCUAUCUCCUCCGGUGCACCCCUCUUGUUUCCUUUCGUGUGCGGGUGUCAACUUUCUUGGAAUGGACCNNNNNNNNNNNNNNNNNNNNNNNNNNNNNNNNNNNNNNNNNNNNNNNNNNNNNNNNNNNNNNNNNNNNNNNNNNNNNNNNNNNNNNNNNNNNNNNNNNNNNNNNNNNNNNNNNNNNNNNNNNNNNNNNNNNNNNNNNNNNNNNNNNNNNNNNNNNNNNNNNNNNNNNNCAUGUCAUGCAUUUUCAUAUCAUGUCAUCAUGUGCAUUGCAUUCGCAUACGUGUUCGUCUCAUGCAUCCGAGCAUUUUCCCCGUUGUCCGUUUUGCAAUCCGGCGCUCCUAUCUCCUCCGGUGCACCCCUCUUGUUUUCUUUCGUGUGCGUGUGUCAAACUUUCUCGGAAUGGACCGAGGCUUGUCAAGUGGUCUUAAUAUAACACCCGGAGACUACCGGUCAAGUUCCGUUUCAUCCGGAGGUCGUUUGGUACUCCAACGGUUAACCGUGCAUCCGCAAAGUCCAUUUAAGUAUCGAGCAAAAACCCCUCUAAAACCAGCCCAAAACCCACCAAACUCUCUUCCAUGCUCUAGGUCGUUCGAUCACGAUCGGGUGGGCGAAAACCGCACCUCAUUUGGACUCUCCUAACUCCCUCUAGCUAUAUAAGUGCAUCCCCUCCGUAUACAUUCGCAGUCCAACCCUAAAAUUCCCCACCGCGCGCCGCCGGACAAAACUGCCACCGACGGACACGUCCGCCGCCGCNNNNNNNNNNNNNNNNNNNNNNNNNNNNNNNNNNNNNNNNNNNNNNNNNNNNNNNNNNNNNNNNNNNNNNNNNNNNNNNNNNNNNNNNNNNNNNNNNNNNNNNNNNNNNNNNNNNNNNNNNNNNNNNNNNNNNNNNNNNNNNNNNNNNNNNNNNNNNNNNNNNNNNNNNNNNNNNNNNNNNNNNNNNNNNNNNNNNNNNNNNNNNNNNNNNNNNNNNNNNNNNNNNNNNNNNNNNNNNNNNNNNNNNNNNNNNNNNNNNNNNNNNNNNNNNNNNNNGCCUCCGGCCCCCUCCGCCGCCGCCGCCUCCGCGUCCCCUCCCUCCGGCCGCCGCCCGCCGGCACCUUCUCCUCCUCCGGCCGACGAGCUCGGGCUCGAGGAGCUCGAGCGACCUCCGCUCGGAUCUGGUAGCCCGUUGACCUCCGCUCUCCCUUUUUUUUCUAAGUCCUCAUUAUUUUCUCAGCAUAUGCUCCUGUUCGAGAUGCGAUAACUUCUUGCAUGUAGCUCCGAUUUGCGUGUGUAAUAUGUCAAAUUGUUUGUCUCGUGAUGCUCUUCAUUUUGUUCAAUUACACCAUAUUCAUUAGAGGUCAUCUUGAUGCCCAAAUCUUCUUUGGAAGCGGGCUAGUUGCUGUUAAUCUCUAGUUCUUAGCAGAACUUGGAGAUUUGUCAUUUUUGUAUCAUUUAAUCUGUGCAUCUUUUGAGCAUUAGCUCUACAUGUGUUUUGAAGUAUGCCAUGCCAUCUUUCCAGUGGUGUAGUCCAUGUAUUUUUUAUCUCUGUGGUGACUAGCACAAGCAUGCAAAGUAGGCCCCGUAAUAAUUCUGAUUUCAGGGACUUGGUGAAUUCUGUCUUUGUCUGCUGUAAUUUUGUUGCCAUGUAAACUUGAUGCUAGAGAGAGAUCCAUGCAUAUUUUGGAGAUGUUCAGUAAGGAUGUUUUGUAGCUAUAGUUGUAAUGGAUCCAUUCCUGCAAUUGUUUGCAAUGAUGGAGUGCCGUAGAAUGACUCAAUCUUGCUCUACGUUUGCUAUAAAAUAUUUCUGGCAGAUUCUUAACAUGACAUGCAUUUUUGCCAAGCUUAUUGUAGUUGAUCCAUACAUGCUAUGCAAUUAUUCUUGCCAUGGAUAGCUUUAUAAACAUGCCAUCUUGCUUUAGGUAUACUUGGUUUGUCAUGAAUUGCUCUGUAGUGAGUGCAUCAAGCUCACAAAGAGGCCUACAUAUUAGUAUUUCUGUCAUGCUCUGUUUUCUGCUAAGUAUGGAACCUGUUAACGAAACUUGCUAUGUUUACAUGCUUGCCAUCAUAUCUUCGGGUCCUUUUUGGCUUAUAGUCAGUAAGAGACUUUUGUCAUGUGCAUUUAGUAGAAUACUACCAUGGCUUGUUUUUCUAUGUUAAGUUCUUGUACCAUGUUGAUUUCAUGCUCCGAACAUAGCUACCUGAUGCUGAUUUCUGCCAUGUCCAGUUUUUCACCAAGUCUGUGAACCUCUAAUCUUUUGCACUUUUGCCAUGCUUGUUUGAGCUUGAUAUGUUGUGAACUAGCCGUAGCUCAGUGUUCAUCUUUUGUCAAGAAUCUCCUUUAGUUUACUGUCGUAUGCUUUGUUGCUAUGUUGGGGUGCUGUAGCAUUGUUACUUGAUGCAUUUUAAGUGCUAUCUUCCUGUUAAUCGCAGAUUCGUGUCAUUCUUGUUUUGCUUGCCAUUUGCAAACCGUGCAUCCGAUUCCGGUGAUCUUUAUAUCGAUUUGGACCGAAAUCAUCUCAUCUUUCCAGUGGCAUGCUUGAUUUUCCAAGUUAUUGCCAUGUUCAUCAUUUUCCUUCCGGAGCACGCAUAUGCAUCGCAUAUCAUAUCUUGCAUAUCAUACAUGUUUUGCAUCAUGUUGCUUGCGCAUUCCUCGUUGUUGAUUGUGGUUCCGUUUGUUUGUGUUCUUGUCUUGGGUAGAGCUGGGAGACGAGUUCGUGAACGAGGAACCUGUCGAGUACGCUUACGAGGAUCAAGCUUUCGACAACUCUGAGAAUCUUGCAGGCAAGAUGACCACCCCUCGAAAUCACUUCUAUCUUUUCUAUGCUAGUUGUUCGCUCUAUUGCCAUGCUCGCUACCUAUCACUUGCUAUAUCAUGUCUCCCAUUUUAGCCAUGUCAGCCCUAACCAUCCUUUCCUAGCAAACCGUUGUAUGGCUAUGUUACCGCUUUUGCUCAGCCCCUCUUAUAGCGUUGCUAGUUGCAGGUGAAGUUGAAGUUUGUUCCAUGUAGGAACAUGGAUAUGUUGGGAUAUCACAAUAUCUCUUAUUUAAUUAAUGCAUCUAUAUAUUUUGGUAAAAGGUGGAAGGCUCGGCCUUAUGCCUGGUGUUUUGUUCCACUCUUGCCGCCCUAGUUACUCUUAUACCGGGAUUAUGUUCCUUGAGUUUGCGUUCCUUACGUGGUCGGGUGAUUUAUGGGACCCCCUUGACAGUUCGCCUUGAAUAAAACUCCUCCAGCAAGGCCCAACCUUGGUUUUACCAUUUGCGACCUAUACCUUUUCCCCCCGGGUUUUCUAGAGCCCGAGGGUCAUCUUUAUUUUAAACCCCCGGGCCAGUGCUCCUCUGAGUAUUGGUCCAAACUGUCAGUCGCCGGUGGCCACCAGGGGCAACUCUGGGCUGGCCUAUCGGAAGCUUGGACAAUCCGUUGUGCCCUGAGAACGAGAUAUGUGCAGCUCCUAUCGGGAUUUGUCGGCACAUUCGGGCGGCUUUGCUGGUCUUGUUUUACCAUUGACGAGAUGUCUUGUAAACCGGGAUUCCGAGACUGAUCGGGUCUUUCCGGGAGAAGGUUUAUCCUUCGUUGACCGUGAGAGCUUAUGAUGGGCUAAGUUGGGACACCCCUGCAGGGUAUUAUCUUUCGAAAGCCGUGCCCGCAGUUAUGAGGCAGAUGGGAAUUUGUUAAUGUCCGGUUGUAGAUAACUUGUCACUUGACACAAUUAAAAUACACCAAGUGCGUGUGUAACCGUGAUGGUCUCUUCUCGGCGGAGUCCGGGAAGUGAACACGGUCUGUGUUAUGUAUUACGUAAGUAGGUGUUCAGGACCUCUUCUUGGUCAUUGCUAGAUGACGUCCGCUCCAUUGCUUCUCUUCUCGCUCUCAUUUGCGCAAGUUAGCCACCAUAUAUGCUUUUGCCGUUGCAGCUCCACCUCUUUGCACCACCUUUUCCUACAAGCUUAAAUAGUCUUGAUCUCGCGGGCGUGAGAUUGCUGAGUCCCCGUGACUCACAGAUUCUACCAAAACAGUUGCAGGUGCCGACGAUGCCAGUGCAGAUGAUGGCGUCGAUCUCAAGUGGGAGUUCGACGAGGAACGUGGUCGUUACUAUGUGUCUUUUCCUGAUGAUCAGUAGUGGAGCCCAGUUGGGACGAUCGGGGAUCUAGCAUUUGGGGUUGUCUUAUUUUCAUCUGGAUUUUGACCGUAGUCGGUCUAUAUGAUUGUAUUUUGGAUGAUGUAUGAUAUUUAUUUAUGUAUUGUGUGAAGUGGCGAUUAUAAGCCAACUCUUUAUCCCAUUCUUGUUCAUUACAUGGGAUUGUGUGAAGAUGACCCUUCUUGCGACAAAACCACUAUGCGGUUAUGCCUCUAAGUCGUGCCUCGACACAUGGGAGAUAUAGCCGCAUCGUGGGCGUUAUAAUGGUGCAGCGUCCCGACGGAUGUGGAACAGAUGGCGCACUCCUACUUCAAGGAGAUCUUCACUAAAGACCCAACCCUGUCCCCAGGGGAGGUUCUUGACUGUAUUGUACCCAAGGUUACGGAAGAGAUGAACGAAUCACUAUGUAAACCCUACUCCAAGGUGGAAAUCUCGGACGCCCUGUUUCAGAUCGGCCCUUUGAAGGCUCCGGGGUGUGAUGGAUUUCCGGACAGAUUUUACCAGCGGAAUUGGGCGAUAUUGAAGGAUGAAAUUGUGGCCGCAGUGCAUGACUUAUUUGCCACAGGCAUUAUGCCAGAUGGAGUUAAUGACACGGCGAUUGUGCUGAUUCCUAAGGUUGAAAGUGCGUUAAGUCGACUAGAGGGGGGCGAAUAGGCGAUUUUUAUGAAUUUUUCACUGAGGAAUUUCAGGGUGAGGAAAUUCCUAAGCGAAGAACUACUUGCAGCGAUAUAAGUACUCAGAUGCAUACAUGACAUAACAUAAUCAUGGACAUCAUGACGAAAUGAAAACAGACACAGAGUACAGGAAGCGUAAGCACAUGAUAAAAUAGGAUGAAGACAAACAGACUGAAGAAAUUGAGCUGAGAAAAUUAAGAAAGUCUUCAAACAGAUAUGAACAAGCACACAACACAGUAAAGGGGAAAUAGAAAGGUUGAGGAAAUAGAACCUGUAAGCUCGGUGAAGACAAUGAUUUGGUAGACCAGUUCCAACUGCUGUGACAGUUGUACGUCUGGUUUGAGCGGCUAGGUAUUUAAACCUGAGGACACACAGUCCUCACCGUAUUCUCCUUGAGCUAAGGUCACACAGACCUCGCCCAAUCAGUCGUGGUAAGUCUUCAGGGGACUUCCAAACCUUCACAAACUCGGUCACUCGGUGAUCCACAAUUUCCUCUUGGAUGCUCUAGACCAUGACGCUUAACCGUCUGAAAGAUGCACAGUCUUCAAAGGUAACAAGCGUCGAAUCCACGCAGGAUCAAUCUCUUCAGUGAUGCUCAAUCACUUUGGGUUUGUAGGUGUUUGGGUUUGUGUUUUCUCACUUGAUGAUUUUCGCUCAAAGUCCUCGGAGGAUGGGAUGCUCUCAAGUGACAAGUGUCAGUUUAUCUCGGAGCAGCCAACCAGCUAGUGGUUGUAGGGGCGGCUAUUUAUAGCCUAGGGAGCAGCCCGACAUGAUAAGACAUAAAUGCCCUUCAAUGAUAUGACCGUUAGGAGGGCAGAUAUUUUGGGACAGCUGGCGCAUAGCACAACAACGGUCGGAAAUUUGACUAUCAAAUUCCUCAGGGAUAUCGUAUUCCUCACUUGUAGGCAAUCCGCACUGGCGAAUUCCUAACUCCUCAGUCAGAACAAAUCCCUCAGAGACCAGAAGAGCUUCGUCUCUGUCACUGAAGAAAUUGACUGAACUGUAUGAGAUUUCCAAUGGCUUCACUCGAAGGGAUUGGUAGGUGUAGGAUUUUGAGUUGAGCAUCACUUGGAAAUUUUUCCUUAGUAUUUCCUCGACCCCCUUUAACAGUACGGUGUUUCCUAUGACUCAAGAAAGAGAAAAUGAAACUAUGAAAACAAAAGUCUUCACGCUUCAUGUUCCUAGAAUGAAUACCAAGUCUUCAAGGUCACACCAAUUUCUUCACUUUCAAAGUCUUCAGAAAGUCUUCGGAAAUCCAAAGUCUCCAGUCGAAGAACUUCAUUUUUAGGGGUCGACUUUUUGUGUAAAUAUCAAACUUCUCAUAGACUUAUAGACCUGUGUACACUCACAAACGCAUCAGUCCCUUAACCUAUAAGUCUUCAAUACAUCAAAAUCACUAAGGGGCACUAGAUGCACUUACAAAGUUUCCCCAUCCAAAGGAACUAAAAGAUUUCAAACCAAUUAGCAUGUGCAAUGUGGUGUAUAAAUUUUUUUCUAAAUGCAUGGUGAACAAAUUACGACCCCUCCUCGCUGAGCUCAUUUCGGAGAAUCAGAGCGCUUUUAUUCCAGGGAGGCUAAUAUCUGAUAACUCCAUCAUUACUUUUGAGUGUAUCCAUCACAUACUGGCAACAACAAAUAAUUCCCCCGCUUUAUGUGCCUACAAGCUUGAUUUAUCUAAGGCAUAUGAUCGGGUGGAUUGGGAGUUCUUGGAGAGGGCUCUAGCUAAAUGGGGUUUCUCUCAGCUAUGGAUUUCUCGUGUGAUGGCAUGUGUAUCUUCGGUGAAAUGUUCUGUAAAGUUUAAUGGCAAGUUAUUGGAGCCCUUUUCCCCUUCCAGGGGACUCCGUCAAGGUGAUCGGUGGUCCCCCUUCCUCUUCCUUUUUGUAGCUGAUGCGCUCUCAUCUCUUAUUAACAAAGCUAUGAGGGAAGAUGCUCUCAAGGGGGUAAAAAUUAGCAGAAGUGCUCCAGAGAUUUCUCACCUUCUAUUUGCGGACGAUUCUCUCCUGUUCUUCCAUGCAACAGAGCAGCAUGCAACUUUGGUGAAAGGUUUGUUGAACACAUACGUGAUGGUGACGGUCCAAUUAAUUAAUCCGUCGAAGUGUUCCACCCUUUUCUCGAAUCAUUGCCUUCCUAAUGUGGUUCAGGAGGUGAAGGGUGUGUUGGAGAUUACUCAUGAGGUGUUUGAACCCAAAUAUUUGGGCUUGCCGGUCCCCGAGGAAAGAAUGCACAAAGGUAGUUUUGAAACUAUCCAGGAACGGCUAAGGAAGAGGCUUGUAGAUUAGAGCGAGCAAUAUAUGUCCGCACAAUAAGGAGAUUCUCAUCAAAUUUGUUGCUCAGGCCAUUCCAACUUAUGUAAUGAGUGUGUUCAAACUCCCUGCAUCGGUAUGUGAUGAGCUCACACGUAUGAUUCGUCAAUACUGGUGGGGUGUUGAGAAUGGGAAGAGGAAAAUGGCUUGGAUGAGUUGGGACAAACCGAGGCUUCCUAAAUCCAUGGGGGCAUUGGCUUCAGAGACAUGAGGUCGUUUAAUCAGCCCUGUUAGCUAAACAAGCCUGGAGGCUGCUGGACUCACCAGAUAGUUUGUACGAUCGUCUUUUAAAGGAAAAGUAUUACCCUCAUGGUCAAUUGUUGGACACUGUUUUUCCGAGCAAUGGCUCGGAGGUUUGGAAGGGCAUUUUACACGGACUUGAGCUGGUAAAGAAAGGGGUUAUAUGGCGUGUGUGGAAUGGUACAACAAUUCGUACAUGGAGGGACCCCUGGAUCCCGAGACCAGCCUCCUUCCGACCAAUUACUCCUAAAAGGAACUGCCGAUUAAAUUGGGUAUCGGACUUCUUAGAUGAUAAUGAUGCAUGGAGAGCAGACCGGCUAAAUGAGUUCUUCUGGCCAAUGGAUGUGAGUCACAUUCUGAAAAUUAGAACCUCACCACGCCAACGCUGUGAUUUCUUGUCUUGGUUCCAGGAGAAGGGCGGAGUGUUUACAGUGAAAAGUGCUUAUAAGCUAGCCACACAGUAACACAAUGCUACCUUUGCUAAUGGUGCGUCCAGUACUAGUCCAGAUGGUGAACGCUCUUUGUGGAACCUUAUUUGGAAUUCAGAUGUCCCUCAAAAGAUGAAGAUUACAGCUUGGAAAGCUGUAACCGGAACACUGGCAACACAACAAUGCAAAAGGUAUAGACACUUAUCGACGAGGUCAACAUGUCCUUUCUGCGGUGUGGAGGAGGAAGGAACGUUCCAUGCGAUGGUAGCAUGUAUGCAUGCCAGAAUCCUUUGGGUGAAUAUGCGACGACGAUGGCCACUACCAGCUGAUGUUCUGCUCCUUGAUACUGGAAAGGAAUGGCUCAUGACCUUACUCAGCAAGUGUUCUGGAGAUGUUCGAGAUAUGUUGAUUAUGAUGAUGCGGAGGAUUUGGCAGCUGCGAAAUGAUAUGGUACAUGGAAAGGAUGUCCCACCAGUUCUUCCUACCGUCGAAUUUUUGGACAGUUACUAUAGGUCAAUCACGUUAGCCGGAAGGUUCUCAAUAGGAGAAAUCUUAAAGGGGAAGAUGCCUACCCUAGAUGUCACUAUGGCGUCUAAUGUUGACAGAACCCCUGCAGUUCCAUGGCCGGCCCCGGCGGCUGGAACGGUGGCCCUAUCUGUUGAUGGCUCCUUCCACAAGGACGACGGAUCUGCUGCCGCUGGUAUGGUUCUUAGGAACAGCGAGGGUGCAAUUAUAUUCGCAACAUAUCGUUUCAUUUUCCACUGCAAUGAUUCCUUGGAAGCGGAACUGCAUGCAAUAAUGCAAGGCAUGGUGCUGGCGAUACAACAUUCAGACCUUCCGGUGGUGGUGCAGUCGGAUUCCUUUGAAACUUAUCCAGCCUGUCUAAUAAUGCGCUUUGUAGGUCAACGUAUGGCCAAAUAGUCUUGGAAAUCAAAGACUUGUUAGGUACUAGGGAGUUUUUUCCUCAGAAAAUUAGUCGUUCUUAAAAUAGAGUUGCCGAUCAACCAGCCAAUUAUAACCACUCUGAGCGAACUACUGUUGUGUGGUUGGGUUUAGUUCCACCGUGUAUUGAGGAUUUGUGGCCUCAAGACUGUAACUAUAUAAUCAUGCAAUAAAACUCUCUUUACCCCUGAAAAAAAAAGAAUCUUGAGUUAGUGUCGAUUCUAGUUCGUUCUUGUGUGGACAACGACGCCGGGACGGACGUACCUGUACGCGCGCGCCAGAGAAAACGGGCUCGGUGCUGCCGAAAAGGAGAACGGGCAUCCGUCUCGCGUAGUCAUUUUUCCAAUUCACUUUCUCUCCGCACGCCGUCCUUUUCGCGAAAAAUAGAAGUUUCAUCGAGAUCUCAACAUCGUGAAUACAGUGUUUGCGUAUGCUGAUUGCUGGCGACGUAAAAAAAAAAGAUAGGCUUUACGUAGUUAACGUCAAAAUGAUUGAUCAAACCCGCUAUUGCUUUUGAUCCUCUUUCCUAAUGCGGGAACUAGUCAUGGUCCUUUUAGUAUAGUUUUCUAUAAUUUCUCCAUUAAGACAGCUACUAUAGUGAGUAUAUAGCAUCCAUCUGAAUAUCUGCACUUUUAUAAUGCGAGCCGACCUAAGAUGUUGACGGAGCUUCUCUGUGCUGAAAAUUAAUCCUUUACCAGUAGCUUCUAGACUCCAAGGAGAGAGAAUCUGGUCCGAUGUUCAGACCAUCAAAUUUAUAUAUAGCUGAAAAAACCAAUGUUACUGCUGGACACCUAACCCGUACGGAGAUUCAUUCUCCUCCGGCUCCACCUGAUCUGAUCUUGGCAAUUCGAUUCCCACUUGCCAAAAGCCAAAAGGUGAUCCUAGAACAGCAAUGUGGUGCUCCUAGCAGCAAAAUAAUAUUAUUUGCAGUACACGAGCAAAGAUCUUCCCCUAGCUCAGGCGGGUGUACUGGAUAUACUAUGAUUGUUCUUGGCACGAGAGAGAGGUUCGUCUGCGUGUUCGGUUGGCACGUGGCCAUCCAUCGGUCCGGAAAGCCGCUGUUUGUGUGCGAGAGGGUGUCUGCUUUUCAGGCACCAGCAGGCACGGGGUAGCGGGCCGCCGGUGCAGUAGGCGUCGCACGUGCCUACGCAAACAGCUGCGUGGCCGUGUUUAUCCAGUUCGGGCUGAACCACAGCUGGUUGCCGAGCUCUGUGUCAGCCUCGCCCGAAUUCCGGGGUGAGUGUGAAGAUAUAUUUUGAUGUCUCACUGGCCAGAUCUUUUCGUUUCUAGCGCGAGUCGGUAGGACUAGGACAGCACAUGUGCGGGUGCCUGCGCAUCUGGGCAAGUUUGGUUGGUCAGUGGACUCGAUGGAUUGCCGGAGCUUUGCCGCACUGAAUUUGGCCCUUGUCUGCCUUGUAGCCACACCAUGGAUGGUAGUAUUUGUUUUCGAGAUGGAGAGUACAUGCAAUGGAUUUAAUGCCAACCGGUGAUCUUGCAGAACGAGUAGCAGAAAGAUUAACAUGAUCAAGGGUGCCAUACAGGCAUACACGCAAAAGAAGAAAAAAAACAUUUUUUCGAUAAAAGCCAUGAUCACGGAUGCCAAAUUCCUCUUCGAAAGAGGCUUCAGAUUUUGGAGGUUCUAUGUGAUUCAGUAUUACUAAUUGUGAACAAAGGAGCGCCCUCCCUCCCCUCCCCUCCCCACCCCACCCGCCCGCUCUAGGGCGACAUGGGUGGAAUCCUACCCUACGUUCUGCUAGGGAAGCCCACACGGGCACCAUGGGUGGUGGCGGCGAAGCACCCCCUUUGGGCUCCCACACAAGUGUCAUGGUCUCCGGGAGAAAAGGGACCGGCGAUGAAGGUGGGUUGGGCUUCACUUGUAUUUCAAAUUGUUCCUAACAUGCCUCUGUUCUACUUGCACAGUGGCAGAGCCAUCUUACAAGUUGAGCCUAGGCAUAAAAAUGCUAAUCAAUUUCAAUUAUAUGUUUGUAAUUUGCAAUGGUGGUUGUUGGGUAGAACCCAGGCACUUGCCCAGGGUCGUCGGGCGGUGGUUCUGCCACUGACUCGCACCAUCUCCCCUUCCCCCUCUCGAUCGUCUCGCCCAAAUCCAGUAGUGGUUUCGUCGAAUAUGGCAGUCCCACCUCUCGUGGGCCUGUGUGCAUCCAGUGGUUAGCAAUAGUCAUCCGUCGUGAGGCAAUCUGUCAUUGGUUGCCCAGUGACCCUAGCCGUCUUUGGGGCAUGUCACCCGGCCUUUGGCCCGACAUGGUUAGUGUCGUCCUUGGUGCUCACAUGUACCAUGUUGUUCCCCUUCGGAUUGUGCCCAUCCACCCGUCGGUCCUCGUUCUGCAACCUCGCUAGCGGUCGCUCCGGUGGUGUUGAGCUUGUGGACUCGUUGCUUAGUGAUGUCGUGUCUACGCUUGCACAAGUGAUCUUGGAUCAUGGCUUGCCGUGGACUUGUCCAUGUGAUGCUUGUCGUUUCUGGGUCGUGUUGUGUCUGAUUGUUGCUCAGGCUCACACAGUGGAUGGUUCUCGCUUUCAUGCAUUGUGAUCGUCUUCUGGUCGUGGAUCGCCGACUCUUGAGUUGGCGAUCCUUAUUUCGGUUAGGUUCUAUGUGAAAUCACGUGCAACUCUCUUGCAUAUGGUUCGGAAAAAAUUUAUGAACACUAGGGACAGGGUGUCAGACUAGUUUGGUUUGUUGUAACUAGAAGAUAGAUAGUUUUCUUUCUUCUCGAGAAAGAAAGAAAGGCUCCCAAGCGUCUAGGGUUUUCCCGCCCCCUGCCGCGCCACCACCAAUCUGCCUCAUCUCCUAUGGCCUUAGGGCUAUGGAGGCGUGGUGGAUCCUGGCCUUUACCGACGGGAGGGCUUAUGCUUCAUUUUUAGGCGUUGUUUGAGUCUAUUUAGGGCAUGUCACUAAUAGGAAAAGGCUAAUUAGUGACGCACCUGUUUUGGCCAUUAAUGGCGCACUAUAGGUGUGCUACUAUUACCACGCCACUAGUAACAAAUACUAAUGGUGCACCUCUGGUGCGCCAUUAGUAUUGCAGGUAACAGUGGCGCAUCUUGUAGUGCGCCAUUACUAUUGCUACAGGUGCGCCACUGGUAACUUUUUUUUAUUUAUUUUUAUUUUUUUCUGAAUUUUGAAGGCGGGAAAAUAGUAGUGGCGCACCGUCUAACCCCCACCGUGCGCCAUUGCUAUUUUUGAAUUUUGAAUUUGGAUCUGGAUCGCAAUUUUUUGCUCAUUUUUUUUGUUCAUUUUUUUGCACGAUAUUUUUUCUAAUUUUGUUCUCGUUUUUGGAUCUUGUAUGUUCUUUUGCCGGAGAUGAGUUCUCCGGAGAGGAGGGCCGAGGUCACCGGAGAGGAGGAGGAGGUCACCGGAGAGGAGCUCACCUACAUCGCCGGAGAGGAGGAGGAGGUCGCCGGAGAGGAGUUCACCGGAGAGGAGGGAGGAGAAACCGUGAGGGAAGGGGAGGAGAGGAGGGAGGAGGAGCUCACCGGAGAGGAGGGAGGAGGAGAUCACCGGAGAGGAGGGAGGANNNNNNNNNNNNNNNNNNNNNNNNNNNNNNNNNNNNNNNNNNNNNNNNNNNNNNNNNNNNNNNNNNNNNNNNNNNNNNNNNNNNNNNNNNNNNNNNNNNNNNNNNNNNNNNNNNNNNNNNNNNNNNNNNNNNNNNNNNNNNNNNNNNNNNNNNNNNNNNNNNNNNNNNNNNNNNNNNNNNNNNNNNNNNNNNNNNNNNNNNNNNNNNNNNNNNNNNNNNNNNNNNNNNNNNNNNNNNNNNNNNNNNNNNNNNNNNNNNNNNNNNNNNNNNNNNNNNNNNNNNNNNNNNNNNNNNNNNNNNNNNNNNNNNNNNNNNNNNNNNNNNNNNNNNNNNNNNNNNNNNNNNNNNNNNNNNNNNNNNNNNNNNNNNNNNNNNNNNNNNNNNNNNNNNNNNNNNNNNNNNNNNNNNNNNNNNNNNNNNNNNNNNAGGAGGAGGUCGCCGGAGAGGAGGAGGAGGAGGAGGUCGCCGGAGAGGAGGAGGGGAGUAUGGUGGAGGAGAGGAGGCGAGAUGGAGUGGAGGAGAGGAGGAGAUGGAGUGGAGGAGAGGUGGAGUGGAGGAGAACAAUGAAGAGGUAAGGAGGAGAGGACCCCGCCCAGCCAUAUAUACGGCAUAGUAAUGGCGCACCGUGGGCUGGUGCGCCAUUACUAAUUUUUUAUAUAUAUUUUUGAUUUACUUUGAAUUUUGAAGGCGGGAAGAUAGUAAUGGCGUACCUUGGGCAGGUGCGCCAUUACUAACUUUAUUUUUAUUAUUUUGAUAUAGUUUGAAUUUUGAAGGCGGGAAGAUAGUAAUGGCGCACCAUGGGCAGGUGCGCCAUUACUGAGUUUGAAUUUUUUUGAAUUUUUUUGCCUCUCCAGAUCUUGAAAGCCCCGUAACUUUUUUUCUGCUAGGUUUUUGGUGAUUUUGAAAAUGUUCAACGGGGUUUCCCCAGUUGAAUUCGGAUGUAACUUUUCGAGUAGAUGAUUUUUCAUAUAAUUUUUUUUUCAUCGGAGUUCGUAUGCAAAAGGUAUGCCCAUUUUACAAAUUCUGGAGAGAUUUUGCAAAACAGUCGAAAAUUCAUGUUUGUAAAUUUUACUAACAACUAGACCACAUAUCACAUGGGAAUCUUAUUUUUUUAUUUUUUUUGACAUUUCUAUCAUUUUCUUUUAUUUUUUUUAAGCUGAAAAGGCGGUCCAAGGGGGGGUGCAUUUGGAGAAUUUUUUGUAGGGCUCAGACGUGUGAUGUGUAAAUGUUAGUAGUGGCGCACCAGGGGACAGUGCGCCAUUACUAGUUAAAAACUAGUAAUGGCGCACUAUCCCCUUGUGCGCCAUUACUAGUUUUGAAAAAAAAGUAAAAAAAAAAUUUGUUAGUAGUGGCGCACUGUUCCAUGGUGCGCCAUUACUAGUUUUGAAAAAAAAUUGUUAGUAAUGGCGCACCGUGUGUGUGGUGCGCCAUUAGUAAUGAGGACACUAAUGGCGCACAUGUAUAUUAGCUAUAGCCCUUUUCCUAGUAGUGUGUGCCCUACUCGGGAAGGAGAGAUGACGACGACUCCCUAAAGAUAGAAUAAGGUUCUCCCCGCCUAGCCCCCGUCGAAAUGGUAUGUCUCGCGUUGUCAAAGGGCGUGUGGAGGUAUGUCCCCGGCAGAUCUCGUAAGGAUUCGGUCAGGUGCUUGGCUUCGGUGGAUCUACGUUUCUUCAUUUGUCCGUGUUCGUGUGUGUACAGGUUGGAUCCUUUCAGUCUACGCUUCUCCUUAUCGACGGCGGAUGCUAUUCUAGUGCGCUGGUCCUUCUGGGCUUUAGCACGGCGACUACCUUUAUGUCUUCUACAAUAAGGUUUCCCCGGCUCUAGUGCUUGUCGUCGCUAGGUGGUCUAUGAACAUUGAGGUAAUUUUUGUUACUUCAGGUGUUCUCGGUACUGACGUGAUUUUCUUUUUUCGAAAUGGAGGCGUACCCCAGGCCUCUGCAUCAUAAUGAUGCAUGCAGCCAUAUUAUUAAAACGUCGCAAAGUAUCACGAAGUCGUCAAAGUAUCACGAAGUCGUCAAAGUAUUACAACUCGCAAGUGGAGCGAAAAAUAAAAAAUAAAGCAAAGUUCAUGCUAACAAUCGCAACCGAAAUGGCAAUAAGAAGGAUAAGCUCCCUAGACUCCUAUCCUGUUAUGCGACCGCCAUCCGAACUGGUUGAAUAUAGCCCGUGCGACCAUCUCCCACUGGUUGCACCCAGUAACCAAAGGCUCCUUGGAUUCCAUAAGUAAGGACCACGUACGGAUCCAAGCGGUAGCUCUGAAGAUGACCUGCAAGAAACUUAAAUUGUGUUGUCUGUUAAAUAUCAAAUCAUUCCUGCAAUUCCAUAUAGCCCACAAGAGCGCACAUAUUCCAAUUCAAAUACAAGCUGCCGUAGUAUGUUCGACCCCAGUUAACCACAUUCCAAACAACAAUGCAAUGUCAACUGGAGGAGUAAUGUUGAAGGCUAUAUGAAUCGUUCUCCAAAGCAAUUUGGCUAAUGGGCAUUCAAGAAAUAAAUGUAUUGUUUCAUCAUGAUCACAAAAGCAACAUCGUUGACUACCUACCCAUCGCCUCUUGAUUAAGUUGUCAUUUGUAAGAAUUACUUGUUUGUGGACAAACCACAUAAAGAUUUUAAUGCGCAAAGGAACCUUAAUCUUCCAAAUAUGCAACGAUCUCGAGACUGGGCCAGAAUUAAUCAAAUACAGAUAGAAAGAUUUUACCGUAAAAAUCCCAUUCUUAGCUAGUUUCCAUUGCGUGGAGUCCGGUUGGUCGGAGAGUUGAACAUCUAUCAAUCUCCGAACCAGGUGCAUCCAUGCAUUCCAUCGCUCACCAACUAGAGCUCAUCUGAAUUGAAUAUUUAAGGGGAUCGUAUGUAAAACUGUGCCUACGUAAUCCUCCUUUCGUUGCGCAAUGUUAUACAUGGUGGGAUAUUGUACGGCCAGGGGCGUCUCUCCUAACCACGUAUCCUCCCAAAACCUUGUUGACAUCCCAUUGCCAACCAGGAAUUUGAUCCUCCGAAAGAACAGGUCCUUUCCAGAAUGGCGAGUCCGUUGGUCUCAUGGUAACCUGAGCGAGUGUUUUGGACUAGAGAUACUUGUUACGCAAAAUCUGUGCCCACAUGCCCUCCGGCUUUAUCUCUAACCUGUAGAGCCACUUGCUCAUAAGGCACUUAUUCUUGAUUUCUAAGCUCUCAAUACCGAGACCGCCCUGGUCUUUUGGUCGACAAAGAAUGUCCCAUCGCGCGAGACGGUAUUUCCUCUUGGCCUCAUCUGACUGCCAGAAGAACCGAGAUCUGAAAAAAUCAAGUCGUUUCCGUACCCCUUUCGGAAUUUCGAAGAACGAUAGUAGGAACAUCGGCAUACUAGUCAGUACUGAGUUAAUCAACACUAACUGACCUUCAUAAGACAUUAGCUUACCCUUCCAGCAGCUAAGCUUUUUUUCUAUUUGAUCUUCGAUGCAUUUCUAUUCUUUAUUGGAUAACUUACGGUGAUGAAUCGGUAUACCCAAAUAACUAAAUGGUAAAGAACCCAUUUCACAUCCAAACAAUUGUCUAUAUGGGUCUUGUUCGUCUUUGGCCUUCCCUAAACAGAACAACUCACUUUUGUGGAAGUUUAUCUUUAAACGAGACAAUUGUUCGAAUAGACAUAAUAUAAGUUUCAUAUUACGCGCCUUAGCAAUGUCAUGUUCCAUGAAUAGGAUGGCAUCGUCAGCAUACUGUAAGAUGGAUACCCCUCCAUCAACCAGAUGAGGAACUAACCCCUCCACUUGCCCAUGCUGCUUGGCCCUGCCAAUAAGAAUGGCUAACAUAUCGGUCACUAUAUUAAACAGGAGAGGAGACAUGGAAUCUCCUUGUCUCAAACCCUUGUGUGUCUGAAAAUAAUGACCGAUAUCAUCAUUAACCUUGAUUCCGACACUACCCUUCUAGACUUGAGAACCCACUUGGUUCCGCCAGACCUCGCUAAAUCCUUAGAUCAAAAGUUUCUUGAAGAAAAAACAACUAGAGGAUGGAUUGUAUUUUUGAAAAAUUGUGCUGCAACUCAUGGUCAUUUGGUGGGCUUUGGGAUUAUCAAUAUAGAGCAAUGGUGAUUUUGACCAUUCGCACAAGUUACAACGCGGGCGCCAAUCUUGGACUGGAUUCACGACAAUCUGGAUCUAGGGCGAUGAUGGUGCACGACCAUAGAUCCACAAUGCACAUCGUUAAUACUACCUCUUUCAGAAGUCCGAGGCAACCAAAGCUGAACAUUGUGGUACCUGGCACGCCUUGCUUCGAUUUUUUAGUUUUCCAGGCUAAGAGAACAAGGGAUUAGAAGAUGACAAUGAACAUGUAUACCUUUGAAGAACCCUGCUAUACACACGACCCUACACACACGACUUGUGGACGACUCUGAAGAUCGCGCCAUCCGAUACACGGUGGCAGCACUGCUACACCGUUUGAUACUCUGCUGCAUAUGUCGUGUGUGUAGCUUCUCGUUUGCACAACAAUGAGGUCAUCCUCUAGUUUGCUUCUCGUUUGCACAACAAUGUGGUCAUUCUCUAGUUUGUACUAAGAUGACUGGCGUCCAGGUAUUCUCCUCUCACGAUCUUCCAAACCUAGGAGGGGAAGAACAGGGGCAGAGAUCCAGUGACAACCCAAUCAUUCAGCAGCAGCCGCUAAACGACCUUUUGCCAGAAAGCAGCAUCUGCUAAUCAAAAGACACCACCCUUCAUUCCAUUUGGUUUUGUUGCGCCCAGAGGCCCAGGGUAUCCGAUGUUUGUAGCUCGCAUGUGCACCACAAACUACACUACACUACACUAGGUAGGGAAGCAAACAUACACGCACAGACAACCAUCCAAAGCAGAGCUGUUGUAGCCCUUGUGACUCGACGGACAUGUGGUUUAAAGUUUAAUAAAUUCUGUUGCUACAUGAGAAAAGAAAAGGCUGAAAGAACUUGCAGAAGUGACUGGUAAUUAAAGGAGUCGGGAAAACAAAAGCAGAAAUGAACGGACUGAGCUAGGCUCAACAGCCUCAGCUCUAGUGUCUGUCUAGUGUAGUGCAAUGUAAUGUGCGAAAGUUUAUGGUAGUACGUAUUUCGUGAUGGAACGUGCACUUUGAUCUUUGGAGAUUCACAUGAAGGGAGGCGCUCAGCUACAAGCAGGAUGUACUGUUUCCCAGCAGAGUUCCUGCUAGUUCCAAGCAGCAGCAGUACAGCACGCACGCAUCUGGACGCCGUCGACAUCGCACCGAGGGUGGUGGGCUUGGGGGUGGGGGUGGGGGUCCCCGUUCACUCUACGAACAGCUGCCACUAACCGAAGCAUCACAGCCACACAUAUUCCAAUCAACAAUCAAGAUUAACGCCAUCAACCAACUGUAUUACGAUACCGCCGCAGUCCGCAUCAGGCGCCGACCGGGCGCUGCUAGGAUCGCAUUAAGCUAAGCGUAACCGAGCAGCAGGUGUCACCUAUGGACAGUAGAUUAAGCCGACCUGAGCGCCAGCCAUGUGAAACCCCCAGACUGUACCGCCGUGUUAAAUAAAGAGAAAGCGACCGAACACGACGGCGUAGGGUUAGAGUAGACCGGUCGUUGCAGGGGACACCUCCCCCUCCCAAGCGGACUCCAGACGUGUGGCGCAGGUGGUGACUGACGACGGAGAUGGUUAGUAAUACUGUACUCUAUGUGUGAUUAGCGAGUUAGCCCUGACCGUACCUUCCAGAGGGAUCAUGAUCGUGUACAAGUACAAUGUAUAUUCAGAUAAACUUUUUGCAGCACAGCGUCAUGAUUAGAUGACGAGCAACACAUGUCGUAUGCAAUGAUAAGAAAUUGUUAAAAACUGUCUCAGCCACCUGCACAAGAGUUCUUCGGUGACUACUAAGCACGCGUGCUUCCUUUCAGCACGGAGGAAUUCGGUGGUGAUUUUCCGGUGCCAGCGAUGAUAAUUGGCAUUGCUGCGAACUAAUGACCGCAAUCGUGCGUGCGUGCUAUUCACAUACGCUUAGUCAGAAUCCUGCAGAAAUGGGUUAGUUCAUCUGGCCAAGGUUGCAGAACCAAACCCAAAAUGUGCAGAAAUGGCAAGAGAUUUACAUACACAUCAUGAGAUUAACUAGCUGUUGCAAUCCACGGGAUGAUAUGGUUCCACAUUGCACAGACUUUUUUUAUCCAAAACUAGAAUAUAUUACUAGCAUCCAAGCAGGGGAAAGAAAGUAAAAAAAAACGAAACAGAAGGGGAACGAAGGAAGGAAGAAACUACCGUCUCCUCUUCCUCCUCCCCGCAUCUCUUCUCAUUCUCCCCGCAUCUCUUCUCAUUCUUGCAUCUAGGCCCCUGGAUCUCCCCCUCCGGAAUCGCUCUACUGCUCGGCGCUCGCCACGGCCGUCGCCUGCCCACGGCGGAGCGUAUCCCGGUAGCGCAUGAAGGAGUCGAUGCGCUGCAGCUUCAGCUGGUGGCGGAAGUUGUUGAUGAAGUCGUCCGCGCGCGCGUCCACCUCGCCGCCGGCCUCCUCGAUCUCCUCCUCCGACACCGGCUCCUCCGGCUCCGCCGCGACGGGGCGGCGGCGGCGCUCCCCGUCCCUCGUCGUCGCGGGCCUGCGCGCCUCCACCACCUCGGUGUCCUCCUCGGCCACGAAGUGCGCGAACGCCGACUUGUCGCUGGCCGACUUGCGCAGCCGCGCCGGGAGCCGCGGCAGCUCGGCCUCGGCCGCCGCCUCCGACAUGCUCCUCUCCAUGUGCGUGUGCUCGGGCUCGAGCUCGCCCUGAGCCUCCGGCUCCAUCUCGAGCGGCGGCAGCUGCUCGUCAGACCCCAGAUCCAGCACUCCGGUCACCGGGGCCUCCGGGGCGGGGACGGUGAAGCGGGACAUGUUGAACGACCGCAGCCGGUCCAUCGCCAUUGAGGGCACGCGGGACAGGCUCCUCCUCUCGCCGCCGGCCGCGGCCGCGGCCCCUUCCCCGCCCCCCGCCGGGGGCGAGGCCUUGGAGGUGACGGCGAUGGUGCCGAUGACGAUGUUGAGCACGAGGAAGAGCACCCACGGGGUGAACCAGCCGUGGACGGUGCUCCACAGCGCAGGGAUCGCCGCCUCCAGCAU